rnacentral:rRNA from 1 species
AUACGGAGGGGACAAGCGUUAUUCGGAAUCACUGGGCGUAAAGGACGCGUAGGCGGGUUAUUAAGUCGGGUGUGAAAUCCAAUGGCUCAACCAUUGAACUGCAUUCGAAACUGAUAACCUAGAGUAUGGAAGGGGCAGGUGGAAUUAGUGGUGUAGGGGUAAAAUCCGUAGAUAUCACUAGGAAUACCGAAAGCGAAGGCGACCUGCUGGGACAUUACUGACGCUGAGGCGUGAAAGCGUGGGGAGCAAACAGGAUUAGAUACCCGAGUAGUCC